AUCGUACUCAGGUUUCUUUAACCAGCACUAAUAGGAUAGAUUCCUGCUACAGGAUCCGUGUCGUGCUUAAUCUCAGAGCCGGAGCCAUGUGACACCUGUAGCUCAGGUAACCACAGACAUAGAAACAAGCUGGUCUCUGUUGGAAGAUCCACUCAGUGAUUGUGCCACCUGCUGAGAGGGCAUGGCGUCUCUCAACACAGGGGAUUUCAGCUCAACCCCGUCACCCAGAAUACUGCAGCUUGCUCGACAUCGAGAAUCUAAAGCAGUCUGGCUUACAACACCGAGAAAGCUGACAUGGGGAAAUCAGGAGCCAAUUUGGCCGCUGUCCUGGGCGGCAUUGAAGGCCGUUCCAACACAGAGGAUCCAGGUUCUGUCCCGGCCCAAAAGAGAUUUCUCGGCCCUCCGUCGAGACCUGCUUCGGAACGACAGAAGGGGUGAAGAAGCGACGAAGAGCGCUCGUCUUGUUUCUAGUGCAGCACAGUAUGAACACAUGAAUCGCCUGGCCACGCCAAGAUCACGACCCUGGAGCUCCAGAGAAGUGAGAGUUCUGUGAGUAUAACUGUCCUGUAUGGCACAUCAGCCCAGCGGUGAGGAGCGCUGUUGCAUCUCCACGUCUCCUCCAGCUUGCUCAGCCCAAACUCUCUCACCCUGACUACACGAGCAGCCGUCAGACAGCAGAAAUAUUCAUCCCCUGUAGAGCUAAAUCAGCUCAGAGUGCGAGACUGGAGCAACUGUGUGUGCCCAAAAUAAGAGAAAACAAACUAGUUUACCCGUACGGCAGUCCUGAGAGCUCCAUCCGGCCUGUGUCCAAAGGAGCGAGGAAAGCUGUGGCAAGUGCUCGCCUGAGAGAGCUCUCCAUCCCAAGGCCCUUGGCCCGGGGUUAUACUCCUCCCCGAGAGCUGAGCUGAGAGACACACGGAGCUCAUAGUCACACACACAGCAUUACUGGAGUGGUUAGAAUGAUGAAGGACAGGUAGUUACAGGUUACCCAUGAUUGAUGAUCAGUGUCACGUCUGUAGGAGACAGCCCAUGCAGACACGGGAAGAACAUGCAAACUCCACACAGAAAGGACCCAGAUCCAUGCAAUGUUGUGUUUACAUCGUGAACAGCGUCCCAUUACACAAUGUUGACUGAUGAUGUCACACAGCCUUGGACCUUGUCUGCUGUCACCAGUAAAAACCAGCUGCUAAAUCUGUCAGCCAAGUCUUCAGACUACAGCUUUGUGCCAACAGUUUGAGGAAUGCCCUGUCCUGGUUCAGCACGAACUGAGCUCCAUAAAGAAAUGUUGGAGGAAUUUGGGUUGGUCUGCACAGAGCUCUGACCUCGACGCCAUGCUACACUUUGGGAUAGAUUUGAAUGCUGACUGUGAUCCAGGCUGUAAUGCUUUACCCGGGCAAUAAAUGAGUGAAUCCCUGCAGUUCUGCUCCAAUAUAUAAAACUGAUAAAUAAUAUCAACACGUUGUAUUUCUUUAUAUUAUA